AUGGCGGAGUACGAGAAGACCAAGCAGCUGGCGGAGUACUCCGGUGCGGCUAAAGUAAUUGCUGCUCUGGCGAGUUCGUCGUAUCCACAGUUUGAUCGCGAGAACUUCGGGGUCUGGAAGGCCCUCAUGGAGUGUGGUCUCCGCGCCAACGAGCUAUGGGACGCGGUGGAUCCCGGAGGCGACGCGUUCAAGAAGGAGGGAGCCGAGCACCGGAAGGAUCGGCAAGCGGCGUCGGCGAUUUACUCGGUGAUGCCGAUGUAUGUCCUCCAGCACCUAAUCGCCAAAGCAACGGCGAAGGAGGUGUGGGAUACGCUGAAGCUCAUGCUCGAGGGACACACCCGUGUCAAGGAAGCCAAUCUCCAAACUCUCCUAAGGAACUACGAGACUUUGGUCAUGGGCGAUGAUGAGUCCGUGGAUGCGUUCGCUUCACGGGUGGCUACUCUCGUCAAUCGGAUUCGCGCGCUUGGGGAGAACCUCACGGAGGCCUUGGUUGUCCGGCGGUUCUUACGCGCGGCACCUCCCCGGUACCUGCAAAUUGUCACAGCGAUCGAGCAGUGCGUUGAUCUCGCGACUCUCUCCAUCGACGAUCUUGUCGGACGGUACAAGGCUCACGAUGAGAGGAUGCGGUACAGUCUUAGGGACGGGAGGAACGACGAGCUUGUGAUGCUCACAAGGGCACAAUGGGUCGCUUUGUCAAAGGAAAAGCAAGGCGGAUCCAGGAGCAGCAGCAAGAAGAAGGGGAAGCAGCGUUCGGCGAGAAAGAACUUCGCUGACUCGGACAAAGACUCAGGCGAUGAGGCUGCACCACCACCGAGGGGAAAGUUUGACAUCAGGAAAGUUAGGUGUUAUAACUGCGGCCUCCUCGGUCACUUCAAGGCUAACAGCGAGGAAGCACCGAAGCAGAAGGCGCUCAUGGCCCAGCAAGGAGAUGAAAGUGACAUGAUGUUGAUGUGCGAACUGGUGGACAAGGUGGAUCCGGUUCUUCAAGCGUCGGCUAAAGAAAUUGUCAUGCUCCGUGAAGAAAAAGUUCACUAUCAAGAUCAUGGUUCGGAAACUCAUGUCGAUGAUACGGACAUAGGCGGUGAUUCCGAAGCUUACGGUGAUGUUACGGGCAUAAGUGCUAACUUUGCUGGAGCGGACGCAGCGAUUGCCGCGUGUGGUCGGCCAUGGAAAAGCAAUCUUGCUGCAGACAUCGAUGGUAAUCCGAGAACUUAUGUCGAUGCUACUGCAAUGGUCACAUCCACGAUGCUUGGAGGAUAUUCAGCCAGGGCACCAUCAGAAGAAGCAGCAGGCAACACAACAGAAGAAGGAACCGAGAUCGAAGGCAAAAGCAACGCCAACGCUCGGUCUGAUGCUUUGCUGAGUAGGCCGAAAGUACAGGCCACGGGCAUCUGUGUAGAUGGCCCAGAAACCAAAGAUGGGCGUGACCCAAGUGCUACUUCGUGUGCACCAGGAAGCAACAACAGCAUACUCGGUACAUGCGUUAGUGGUAUGCCACUAUGUCCUAGUGGACCAGGAGCUGGUGGAUCACGUGGUGGUCUAUCCCAACCAAGGCAAAGGUGGAGGCCAGAAUGGCCAGAAUAUGGAGACGAAGAUGCAGCGGCAAUUCUAUGUGCACGGGGUGCACUGGCUUCACGCGGUGGCCAUGCUAGCAACCCAAGGGGUGCUACACGUGGAGCUUGGGCUGGGAUUUUUACAAUGCCAAAAGAAAUGUGCAAAGUAGAAAAUGAGACGUCUCCUCGGACAGCAAUGGAGGAGAAUGCACCAACACCCACAUCCAUAUUGCCACAACCGGUGUUACACCCAUAUUCGGAGAAAAUUCUUCGGACGCUUGACCCGGUGAUGGAGGAAAAGAGUGGGCGACGGUGUCUAACAAGUGCCAAGGAACCGGCGGAAAUUAAGGACGCAAAUACGAAGGAGUGUUGGCGUCGGGCUAUGGAAGCGGGGUUGAGGUUGAUCCACGAUAACAAUGCAUGGGAGCUCGUGGAUCCUCCACCCAACGACAAUGAAAAUGCCAUGGAUUUGAAGUGGGAAUUUAAGGUCAAGAAAGAUGUUGAAGGGUGCAUGAAGCACAAAGCGAGGUUUGUGGCCAAAGAGUAUGUGCAAGGGGAAAGUAUGGACUUCGAAGAAGUGUUCAUUCCCAUUGCAAAGAUGGAGUCGGUGAGAUUACUCAUCGCUCUCGCGGUUCAGGAAUCAUGGAAAGUACAUCACAUGGAUGUAAAAUCUGCGUUUUUGAACAGCGAGAUAGAAGGAGACGUGUAUGUGAAUCAACCACUGGGUUUCAUCAAAGAGGGAGAAGAGCACAAGGUACUUAAGUUACAUAAAAUCUUGUAUGGGCUAUGGCAAGGACCUCGGGAGUGGAACGUCAAACUUGAUCGAACAUUGAUUUCUCUUGGAUUUGAGAAAGCCCCACUAGAGCAUGCAAUGUACAAGAGAGGUGAGGGAAAGGAUCGUCUACUAGUUGGCAUCUACGUCGACGACCUAUUGAUAACUGGAGCAGAUGAAGAGGUGAUUGCAAAGUUCAAGCUACAGAUGAAAGAGCUUUUCAAGAUGGAUGAUCUAAGUCUUUUGAGCUACUACCCCGGGAUAGAGGUACAUCAAAAGACGGAGGGGGUCACACUAUGCCAGGAGGCAUAUGCAAGGAAGAUACUUGAAAGCUAUGGCAUGAAAGAUUGCAAUCCAAAUGACUCUCCAAUGAAACCUCGUCUUGAGCUAAGCAAGAAGAGUAAAGUAACUGUCGUUGAUGCAAUAGAGUAUAUUGCAGCGGCCGCUGCGGCGUGUCAAGGUGUGUGGCUAGGGAGGCUACACGGUGAUCUCUUGGAUCGAGAUCCGGAACAGGUGGUGCUCAAUGUUGAUAGCAAGUCUGAAAGUUUUCUACGCGAAGACCCAGUGCGGCAUGAUAGGAGCAAGCACAUAGAUACGGUGUAUCACUACAUAAAGGACUGCGUAGAAGAAGGUUAG
rnacentral:rRNA from 1 species